GCAUAUGUAGCUCAGUGGUUAGAGCACUGGUCUUGUAAACCAGAGGUCGAGAGUUCGAGUCUCUCCAGACGCU
rfam:Nematostella vectensis strain CH2 x CH6 NEMVEscaffold_32_Cont5598, whole genome shotgun sequence.